UAUCUGGUUGAUCCUGCCAGUAUUAUAUGCUGAUGUUAAAGAUUAAGCCAUGCAUGUGUAAGUAUAAAGACCAAGUAGGAUGAAACUGCGGACGGCUCAUUAUAACAGUAAUAGUUUCUUUGGUUAGUAAAAUACAAGGAUAGCUUUGUGAAUGAUAAAGAUAAUACUUGAGACGAUCCAGUUUGUAUUAGUACAAAAUGGCCAAUUUAUUUAAAUGAAUUGAGAAAUGACAUUCUAAGUGAGUUAGGAUGCCACGACAAUUGUAGAACACACAGUGUUUAACAAGUAACCAAUGAGAAUUUCUGAUCUAUCAAUCAGUUGGUAGUAUCGAGGACUACCAAGAUUAUAACGGAUAACGAGGAAUUGGGGUUCGACAUCGGAGAGGGAGCUUUACAGAUGGCUACCACUUCUAAGGAAGGCAGCAGGCGCGUAAAUUACCCACUUUCGAAUUGAAGAGGUAGUGACGACACAUAACUCUAGAGUUGAGUAAAAUCAAUUCUUGAAGGAAUGAGUAGGAGGUAAAUUCUCCUACGAAAUCAAUUGGAGGGCAAGUCUGGUGCCAGCAGCCGCGGUAAUUCCAGCUCCAAUAGUGUAUAUUAAAGUUGCUGUGAUUAAAACGCUCGUAGUUGA
rnacentral:rRNA from 1 species